AAAUUUGAUGAUGGUGAUCUCAUCUCCUAUAUCCUUAAUGGAUUGGAUUCGGAUUAUAAUCCGUUUGUGUCUUCUAUGGCAGUAAAAGACACUCUGACAUUAAGCGACUUAUAUGCUUAGCUACUUGCUUAUGAAG